GGAAUGAAGAACGUAGCGAAAUGCGAUAAGUAAUGUGAAUUGCAGAAUUCAGUGAAUCAUCGAAUCUUUGAACGCACAUUGCGCCCGCCAGUAUUCUGGCGGGCAUGCCUGUCUGAGCGUCAUUUCAACCCUCAUGCCCCUAGGGCGUGGUGUUGGGGAUCGGCCAAAGCCCGCGAGGGACGGCCGGCCCCUAAAUCUAGUGGCGGACCCGUCGUGGCCUCCUCUGCGAAGUAGUGAUAUUCCGCAUCGGAGAGCGAUGAGCCCCUGCCGUUAAACCCCCAACUUUCCAAGGUUGACCUCAGAUCAGGUAGGAAUACCCGCUGAACUUAAGCAUAUCAAUAAGCGGAGGA
rnacentral:misc_RNA from 1 species